GUAGGGAAUAUUGCACAAUGGAGGAAACUCUGAUGCAGCGACGCCGCGUGAGUGAUGAAGGCCUUCGGGUCGUAAAACUCUGUGAUAAGGGAAGAUGAUGACGGUACCUUAUCAGAAAAGACCGGCUAACUUCGUGCCAGCAGCCGCGGUAAUACGAGGGGUCUAAGCGUUGUUCGGAAUCACUGGGCGUAAAGCGGGUGUAGGUGGCUAUGCAAGUUGGAUGUGAAAGCCCCGGGCUCAACCCGGGAAGUGCAUCCAAAACUACGUAGCUUGAGUGAGGGGGAGAAAGGCAGGAAUGCUGGUGUAGGGGUGAAAUACGUAGAAAUCAGGAGGAACGCCGGUGGCGAAGGCGGCCGUUUGGCCCAGCACUGACACUCAGACCCGAAAGCGUGGGUAGCAAACAGGAUUAGAUACCCGGGUAGUCC
rnacentral:rRNA from 1 species